AAUCAAGCCCAAUCAUAUUUAUUUCACAGACGAUUGUUUUUUAACAUACCUAGCCUAUGAAGAAGGAGGAGGGUUGGACAUGGGGGUGUUCAACCUAGCAGAUGGAAGCAUUCAGCCGCAUUACAAUGGUGUUUCCCUCAGUCGUUUUUGUCCUCCAACUUGGGUAACGCCAACUCUCUAUUGAAUUUCAGUCAUACAUACUCACUCAUCAUAGCUAUUGUUUUACUCAAAAGUUUUUGAAUGUUUUGAUUUAUCUUUCUUGUUUUCAUAUAAUUGGAUGCUUGAGUAUGUUG
rnacentral:misc_RNA from 1 species